GAUGAACGCUGGCGGCGUGCCUAAUACAUGCAAGUCGAGCGAACGGACGAGAAGCUUGCUUCUCUGAUGUUAGCGGCGGACGGGUGAGUAACACGUGGAUAACCUACCUAUAAGACUGGGAUAACUUCGGGAAACCGGAGCUAAUACCGGAUGAUAUUUUGAACCGCAUGGUUCAAAAGUGAAAGACGGUCUUGCUGUCACUUAUAGAUGGAUCCGCGCUGCAUUAGCUAGUUGGUAAGGUAACGGCUUACCAAGGCAACGAUGCAUAGCCGACCUGAGAGCGUGAUCGGCCACCCUGGAACUGAGACACGGUCCAGACUCCUACGGGAGGCAGCAGUAGGGAAUCUUCCGCAAUGGGCGAAAGCCUGACGGAGCAACGCCGCGUGAGUGAUGAAGGUCUUCGGAUCGUAAAACUCUGUUAUUAGGGAAGAACAUAUGUGUAAGUAACUGUGCACAUCUUGACGGUACCUAAUCAGAAAGCCACGGCUAACUACGUG
rnacentral:rRNA from 1 species